GAUUCCCUCAGUAAGGGCGACUGAAGCGGGAAGAGCUCAUUCUGUGAAUCUGCCCUGUGGUGCCGAGUUGUGGAAUGGAGAAGCACGUCAGCUGCAGCCCGGUCCAAGUCUUCUGGAAAGGAGCGCUUGAAAGGGUGACAGCCCCGUAUCUGGCUGGGUGUCUGUGGCAUUAGCAUGUGCCUUCGACGAGUCGAGUUGCUUGGGAUUGCAGCUCUAAGUGGGUGGUAAAUUCCAUCUAAAGCUAAAUAUCGGUGGGAGACCGAUAGCGUACAAGUACCGUGAGGGAAAGAUGCAAAGAACUUUGAAAAGAGAGUUAAAGAGUACCUGAAAUCGCUGAAAUGGAAGCGAAGGAAACCAGUGGCAUCUCCAACAUUUUCUCUCGUUGCUUGCGGCGAGGGCGCUGUGUUGGAGAGUCGGCCAGCAUGGGUUUGGACCGGCGGAAGACAUCCCCCAGGAGGCAGCUAGAUUCCUAGCAAUCACUGAGGGAUGGUGCGCUGGUCGAGACCGAGGCUAGUCACGUUUGUGCUCGUGAUGCUGGCGAAAUGGUUUUCUUUACCCCGUCUUGAAACACGGACCAAGGAGUCUAACAUAUGUGCGAGUAUAUGGGUGGCAAACCCACAUGCGAAAUGAAAGUAACAGUGGUAGGACCUUUUGGGCACUAUCCGCCGGCCAAUAUCCCUCGGGAGAACGGUCUGAGUGUGAGCAUACAUGUGGGGACCCGAAAGAUGGUGAACUAUGCCUGAAUAGGGUGAAGCCGCGGGAAACCGCGGUGGAGGCUCGUAACGUUCUGACGUGCAAAUCGAUCGUCAAAUUUGGG
rnacentral:rRNA from 1 species